rnacentral:rRNA from 1 species
UACCAGCUCUCCGAGUGAUAGGGAUGAUUAUUGGGCUUAAAGCGUCCGUAGCCGGCUUAGCAAGUUUCCUGUUAAACCCAGCGACUCAAUCGUUGGAUCGCGGGAAAUACUACUAGGCUAGGAGGCGGGAGAGGUCAACGGUACUUCUGGGGUAGGGGUGAAAUCCUAUAAUCCCGGGAGGACCACCAGUGGCGAAGGCUGUUGACUAGAACGCGCUCGACGGUGAGGGACGAAAGCUGGGGUAGCAAACCGGAUUAGAUACCCGGGUAGUCCCAGCUGUAAACGAUGCGAGCUAGGUGUUGGGAUGGCUACGGGCCAUUUCAGUGCCGCAGGGAAGCCAUUAAGCUCGCCGCCUGGGGAGUACGGCCGCAAGGCUGAAACUUAAAGGAAUUGGCGGGGAGCACCACAAGGCGUGAAGCUUGCGGUUC